rnacentral:rRNA from 1 species
GGCCCUUCGGGGUACUCGAGCGGCGAACGGGUGAGUAACACGUGAGUAACCUGCCCCUGACUCUGGGAUAAGCCCGGGAAACUGGGUCUAAUACCGGAUACGACCACUUCAGGCAUCUGAUGGUGGUGGAAAGAUUUCUUGGUUGGGGAUGGACUCGCGGCCUAUCAGCUUGUUGGUGGGGUAGUGGCCUACCAAGGCGACGACGGGUAGCCGGCCUGAGAGGGCGACCGGCCACACUGGGACUGAGACACGGCCCAGACUCCUACGGGAGGCAGCAGUGGGGAAUAUUGCGCAAUGGGCGGAAGCCUGACGCAGCGACGCCGCGUGGGGGAUGACGGCCUUCGGGUUGUAAACCUCUUUCAGCAGGGACGAAGUUGACGUGUACCUGCAGAAGAAGCGCCGGCUAACUACGUGCCAGCAGCCGCGGUAAUACGUAGGGCGCAAGCGUUGUCCGGAAUUAUUGGGCGUAAAGAGCUCGUAGGUGGCUGGUCGCGUCUGCCGUGAAAGCCCGCAGCUUAACUGCGGGUCUGCGGUGGAUACGGGCCGGCUAGAGGUAGGCAGGGGCAAGUGGAAUUCCUGGUGUAGCGGUGAAAUGCGCAGAUAUCAGGAGGAACACCGGUGGCGAAGGCGGCUUGCUGGGCCUUACCUGACGCUGAGGAGCGAAAGCGUGGGGAGCGAACAGGAUUA